UACGGAGGGUGCGAGCGUUGUUCGGAAUCACUGGGCGUAAAGGGCGUGUAGGCGGUCCGCUAAGUCUGAUGUGAAAGCCCGGGGCUCACCCCCGGAAGGGCAUUGGAAACUGACGGACUCGAGUCCCGAAGAGGAGGGUGGAAUUCCUGGUGUAGCGGUGAAAUGCGUAGAUAUCAGGAGGAACACCGGUGGUGUAGACGGCUUUCUGGACCGUAACUGACGCUGAAACACGAAAGCGUGGGUAGCAAACAGG
rnacentral:rRNA from 1 species